rnacentral:misc_RNA from 1 species
GAUGAAGAACGCCAGUGAAAUGCGAUAAGUAAUGUGAAUUGCAGAAUUCAGUGAAUCAUCGAAUCUUUUAACGCACAUUGCGCCCGCCAGCAUUCUGGCGGGCAUGCCUGUUCGAGCGUCAUUUCAACCCUCGAGCCCCCCCGGGGGCCUCGGUGUUGGGGGACGGCACACCAGCCGCCCCCGAAAUGCAGUGGCGACCCCGCCGCAGCCUCCCCUGCGUAGUAGCACACACCUCGCACCGGAGCGCGGAGGCGGUCACGCCGUAAAACGCCCAACUUUCUUAGAGUUGACCUCGGAUCAGGUAGGAAUACCCGCUGAACUUAAGCAUAUCAAUAAGCGGAGGA